GUUCAAGAGUACGUGAAACCGUUCAGGGGUAAACCUGAGAAACCCAAAAGAUCGAAUAGGGAGAUUCAUCGUCAGCAUGUUUCGUAUAUGUAUGAGUUAUGAUGCGGGUUACUUUUGUAUUGCUUGCACAUUCUUGUACAUUUAAUUGCGGAAUAUGUCGGCGUGCACUUCUCCCUUAGUAGAACGUCGCAACCCGUUGAGUGUUGGUUUAUGACCCGAGUGGAAGCCUUUAAUGUUUUUAACAUUGAAGACCCUUGGUGUUCUGACUGACUGUUCGACGGUACUCGUAUGGUAUUAAGUCGCAUAUUUUAUGCGUUCAUAUCUGUCACAAGUGAGGUCAAUUUCUGGCAGUACGGACCUUGUGCCGUCGUUGGAUUUGACCAGCUGUUGGUUGACGGUAUUCUAGAACAGAUUAUACCGGUNGGCGAUGCUACUGCUUUGGGUACUUUCAGGACCCGUCUUGAAACACGGACCAAGGAGUCUAACAUGUGCGCGAGUCAUUGGGAUAUUAAUAAACCUAAGCGCAUGAUGAAAGU
rnacentral:rRNA from 1 species